rnacentral:rRNA from 1 species
UACGGAGGGGGCUAGCGUUGUUCGGAAAUACUGGGCGUAAAGCGCACGUAGGCGGCUCAGCAAGUCAGGGGUGAAAUCCCGGGGCUCAACCCCGGAACUGCCCUUGAAACUGCUAGGCUAGAAUCUUGGAGAGGUCAGUGGAAUUCCGAGUGUAGAGGUGAAAUUCGUAGAUAUUCGGAAGAACACCGGUGGCGAAGGCGACUCGCUGGACAAGUAUUGACGCUGAGGUGCGAAAGCGUGGGGAGCAAACAGG